GCGGAGGGAUCAUUGC
rnacentral:rRNA from 1 species